UCCCCUCCUCCCUGAGCUGGAACAGAGCAAUAGGCCCUUCUAGUCUGGUAUCCUGUCUCCGAAAGUGGCCAGGAGUCCACUGGUGCCUCAUCUGUACCAUAGACAGAGUUAAUAUCACCUCCCUGCUACUGUAGCUGCUAAACUCUGGUGAGAGAUCCUCGGAGCAAGAUACUCACAUGGACAAGUAACUCUCCAUUGUUAUUCUGCAAGAAAAAUGCCGUGUGAUAUUCCCACUCUAAGGCACAAUGCAGGUUUACUCUGAUAGCAAAGAGUCAGCCAAGGCAUCCUUGACUGCAAAAUAUUUCUUGAGUUUCUGGAACAGUUGCUGAGGGCAAUGCAUUCUGGGUGAUUUCAGAAGGCUUUUUUGUGUAGUUGCAGGAAAACUCCCAUAACCCCUGGAGCCUACUGCUUGUUCACUUGGUGACAUAGCUUGCAGCAGCACUGCCUUCUGGGUGAUACUUGAAAGCCUCUCAUAGCAGUCUUCACAGCUGCCCUGGAGGAGUGUGGGAGAGGAACUCAACCUGCCAUAAACCCUGAGAGAUGUUCAUAAGCCCCCUGGAGCAGGUGAUAUUUCCAGACUGCCUUCACAACAUGGUAACAGCAAAUAUGCCUUGUGUGAAAGUGAAAUGAAUUCUAUUAAAGAAAUAGAAUGAAUUAAAGAAUGCUGUAUGUACCUUUAAGUAGAAAUGAGAAAUGCUGCAAGCCAGGGGGGCAGGAAAGCAGACAUUAACUGCUUAACUUACCACUUAAGGGCAAUUGGUGAAGCAUUAGUCUUAGAUCGAUAAGAGUUAACAAGGAAGCAGGAUAUGCAUAUUGUGCUCCAUGCAUAUUUUACAAUUUUGCUCUCUUUGUCCCUUUGUUUAGUUCGCACCCUUUUAUCUGUAUAAAUAAGACUGUUUGAAUCUUGCACGGAGGCUCACAUUAUAUGAAUGUAUUAGCAGAGAGCUGUGCUAAUAAAACAGAGUGGUCUGACAAACUAUGAGUCCUGAGUCUAACUUUGACAAUUUGGAGGUUCCACCGAGAUGGCAACCGUCUUCACUGGGGCUGUGUGAUUCCUGACGAUUUUUGUAGGACGACCCUGGUAGCCGGCACCUGGGCAUUUGGCCCGAGCGGUCCUCCUCCUGAACGGAAGGGUGCACGACCACAGUGAGGUCUACGCCAUCGAACCUGUUGGUUCCCACUCUGUUCUGGUAGGGAUCCCGGGAACUGACAUCAGGAAUCUGGUCAGGAAUGUAUGCAUCAGGAAAAGAUAAGGUGUGAAGGUCAUUGUUAUAGCCAGAGUCAAGGAAGAAGAAGUAAAGAGACUUAAAGGACAUCAAAGAAUCAUCAGGUUCUGCUUACUAUCCAGAUGGCUGUUAAACUGUCUGGCAUCACAGCGUGCAUACAUGCUUCGCAGUGUAAGAAGGCAUCCCCCAGCAAACCAAUCACCUCAGGACCACGCAGAGUCAAUUUUGACUCCAGAAGAAGACGUAGAGGAACAGCCUGCAAUACCUUACCAUCUACGCUCUCGUAAGGGUUGCCAGAAGCAGACGAGGACCUAAAGCAAGGCCCAAAAAGAAGCAGUAGUGAGCCUAGCACCUGCUGCCUGGUGAAUGUAAAACUGUGACUGCGGUUCCCUCAGUUGAGGUUGUCAGAACCGGAAGGGCCUUGCCUCCAACAUGAGCCUCUGGUGGCGCCUGUUCCUCGGCUGCUGGUAUCUUAAGGUCUGGGGAGUCCACAAUGAAAAUUCUUUUAUCCAGCAGCAAGUGUGGAUAGCUCAGACCCUUAAUAUUUCUAAUUCCUGGGUCUGUAGCCACAUCCCAGCUCACUCUCAAGCUGGUGUUCCUGUCCUGGCAAUCCCAUUCAAUUCCCCAGACCACACUGGAGGACCUCGUCCAUUUAACAAAACAUAGAACAAUAAUGACACUUGGGAAGCAGUGGGAAUAAAUGUAUCUAAAUGGAUAAGUGUGGUGGAGGGAAAAGGUCAUUUGUGUUGGGUGUAUAAUGGGACAGAGCUGGAUCUGGGAAAAAGUCAUUGCCUUCAGCAUAUUGUGGCCAAUUGUGUAUGGAAUUAUUCGAAGAAAACUGAAGAGUGGCAGGCCGGGUAUGGGGAUAUGAAUUUUUUCUCGACCUGGGAUCAAACAGAAAAAUCAAUCUCAUGUUCCCCCUACAGUAACCUUAGUGAAAACAAUACAAUCUUUCAAUGCCGUGCAAAUAACACCACUCCUCGUAAGGAGAAUUACCCUGUGCCCUUCGGAGGAUAUUACUCCUCCUUUGUAGGCACCUAUGUGACAAAUGGGUGCAACUGAUCCUUUCUAGCCUUAAUAGGCCAUCAUUGGGUUUGUGGGACCAAAGCUUAUACUGUGUUACCAGCUAACUGGUCAGGUAUCUGUUAUCCCGCCCGACUCUUCCCACAAUUCCGAGUGCUAGGGUCCUUCCCACGAGAACGCCUUCGUAAUUUCAGGCGAAGAAGAAUGGUGUGUAAAUAACAUAAGCCCCUUGACCUGGGAAGAGGCGAUUGGCGGUUCCCUUAUCCCACUUGGGGGAGUAAUACACCAUGCAAAAAGGCUCGUAAGGUUACAAGCAGUAGUUGAAAUAAUGGCAAAUGAAACCGGAGAGAGUUUAAAGACCCUGCCCAAAGAGACAGGGGCGAUCCGACAGACGGCCCUCCAAAACCAUCAGGCAUUGGACAUAGUGCUGGCGGCCAAAGGAGGGACCUGUGCUCUCAUUGGAAAAGAAUAUUGUGUGUUCAUACCUGACGACACCAAUGAGGUAAUAGAUCGCGCUAAUCACUUAGAACAAAUUGCAUAUCUUCCCCAUGAAGAGCCGAGUUCUUUAUGGAAGUGGCUAAGUAACCUAUUCAAUUUCCCUGGCAUAGGAAACUGGUUGUUUCAGGGAGCCCUGACUAUCCUGUGUGGAAUCCUAAUGAUUUUUGUCUGUUUUCAGUUAAUCUCCUGUUGUAUACAGAAUUCUGUAAGGUAUGCCACCCAGGUGACUGCCCCAAAACAGAGUGCUAGUAUGAUGAUGUUAAAUAUCACUGAUGAACGAAGCGAUAAAGAACUAUUCAUAGGUGGAACCCAGUAAUUGUUGGUCUUUGCGUAAGCUUGACCAAAAGGAGGGAUUGUGAAAGUGAAAUGAAUUCUAUUAAAGAAAUAGCAUGAAUUAAAGAAUGCUGUAUGUACCUUUAAGUAGAAAUGAGAAAUGCUGCAAGCCAGGGGGCAGGAAAGCAGACAUUAACUGCUUAACUUACCACUUAAGGGCAAUUGGUGAAGCAUUAGUCUUAGAUCGAUAAGAGAUAACAAGGAAGCAGGAUAUGCAUAUUGUGCUCCAUGCAUAUUUUACAAUUUUGCUCUCUCUGUCCCUUUGUUUAGUUCGCACCCUUUUAUCUGUAUAAAUAAGACUGUUUGAAUCUUGCAUGGAGGCUCACAUUAUCUGAAUGUAUUAGCAGAGCGCUGUGCUAAUAAAACAGAGUGGUCUGAAAAA